rnacentral:tRNA from 1 species
ACCUGGGCCAGCUCAGUCGGUGGAGUGUGUGACUCUUGAUCUCGGGGUUGUGAGUUCAAGCCCCACCUCGGGUA